GACUGUAGGACAGGAGAAUACAGUCUAUUGCUCCCUGUUAUCAGCCAUUUCAGGCUGGUGGUAGGCUGUAGGACAGGAGAAUACAGUCUAUUGCUCCCUGUUAUCAGCCAUUUCAGGCUGGUGGUAGGCUGUAGUACAGAGAUGCUUACAUCACAUCACAUAUCAACUGCUCCUUUUGUGGAGCACAUUGUAUACAGUUUGAAACUGGCCACCAGAUGGCGUCCUGCUAGCCCCACACACAUUAGAUUGUCAUCAGUAGCGUUGUUAUAUACUGGGGGGGGCUGAUAUUUCGAGCAGGGGCAAGACAGUAACUUAGAUAUAUAUUGGGUGUAUUGCAGAAUUAUUAAUGGGCGUGUUUUGUUUUGCAGAUGCCGCUGAAAAUAACGUCAAUACAACAGAAGAGGCUCCCGAAGCCAACAAUCACCCUUAAGAUGAUUCUGAUGAAGACCAACGCUGUAAGAAACAGCAGCAAUUACCAAAGUGAACCACGCCAUUUAUAACAGCAGUAACGUGUCUACUGCCCAUCCUGGGCCGAACAAAAUGUUGUAGAUACAAGCCAGACACUGGAGGCCACCACAAGUCAUCUCCAGGUCUUCUCAUCCUCAUGGUUGGCAUUAGACCUCUUCCCAUAAGACCUUUUGAUACAAAAAAUCAAGUUACCACUGGAACCAGCUCAGUCUUCACUGAGGUCCCGAGUAUUCUCUUCCUGGCGCCUCUGCCUUCAGGAUGACUCGAGGUGGACAGAGCCUUCACACCAGGAGAACUAAACACUAACACUAAUGAGGUCUCCAAGACUGGAGACAAUGGCUGCUCCCAUUGUAGGAGGCCAUUAUGUACAACUGGUUCAUAGAAAAAGACGACGCUAACCAAAGAUGGGCUAGAACCUCCUAGACAGCACUACAGUCGGAAGUGUACUUGACCAUUCCACUGCUAUGGGCCCCCAGGGGCCAAACACAGCCUCCCUAAUCUGUGGUUCCCAAUACAGAAUGAUGCUUGACCAAUGAACUUUCCUCCCUGUGUAAGAAGCACCUCUAUUUUGGGGUCCUGGAUUAGGAGGAGGAAACGCAUCUUGACUUCCUCUUUAUUGCAUUCCCCAUGCUUUAACAGGUUGCUAUGGUAACACAGAGCGCCCCUUAUCUGCUGUUCUGACACUGGAAUCUUCUAUUGCUUUAUUGUAUUUACUGAUUGUAAAUAAAGUUUAUAUAUGUGAGAAACAAAA